rnacentral:lncRNA from 1 species
CUCACUAAAAACAGAACUUACUUACAGAAGCCUCUUUUAAUUUCCACCCCCUCUAGAUUUUCUCUCUAACUGGUUUUCCUUAGAUCUCUCACAAUGACCUUUAAUCUUAUGCUUUUGUUCUGUUUGGUUGCAGUGAUCAACAAUGUUGUUGUUCCAACUAGUGCAAGACAACUCAUGAGUACCACCACUACUUCACCAGACGAGAAAGAAGUGAUGAUGAAUAUUGGCACUGCAAAUAGAGGGCAUGAUGAAAAACAUGAUCAUCAAGUACAAGUAGAUGAUCCAACAAGCAAGAACUAUAACGUGGAAAAGAAAGAAGAAAGAUUUGACAAAAACCAAAUCAUCCCUCCCAUUCUUCCAUUCCCAUUUGGUUUUCCAUUUCCACGUCCUUCUUUUCCAUUUCCACGUGCUGCUUUUCCAUUUCCACGUUUUCCACUUCCAACACCAUUCGUUCCAGGGCUUCCAUGGCCAAUAAGCCCUGAUGCGGUUUCUUCAUUUCCGUAUCCUCCUGUAGACAUGCCUGCUUCUCCUUACCUUCAUACAACACCUUCAUCUCCACCUAACUAAACAUGUUUCCAUGUGAUGCAUGGGGGUGAUAUCCAUUUGCAUGCUAUGUUAGGGUUUUUACUUAAUUAAAGUUGUGUGAUUGUGUAUGUGUUUAAGCAUGUUAUCAUAAGUAUAUGUGUUUAAAUAAAACAGCUAUGAUAAAUAAAAAUAAGUUUGUAUGGUUUAGCUAGGUUGCUAUAGUAAGCUAGGUUUAGGAUUACCUUCCUUUAAAUGCUUACUAGCUAUCAUGGUUCUUGUACUUCUUCUUUUUAGUAUGUCUAAUAAAAUGAUGUUAUAGUUUAUUACUUUUCGGUGAGUUGUGAUUUCAAAACGUCUCUCGUAAAUUUUUUAGAUUGUUGAAAUUAUACUUGCUGGCGAAACUUGCAUGUCACAUGUGUGUGAUGACAUCUUUAAAACUUUGAAUUUGGAAAUAUUAAUUUCUCUAUAGAGACGUGAUUGAGGAGGAAACAAAAAUCCUAUUAAGAUAAUUUGAGAUGGAAAUGUAAAUCACACUUCUUGUCCUCUCUGAAUAUUCAAAAUAACAAAUCAAUUUUAAUUUUUUAUAUAGAGUUUUAAUUUUAUUAUUAAUAACAAAGAGAUCGAGAUCUUAUUAUAUAGUGUAAUGAUAGUAUUCCAAACUCUAUACACGUUACAAGAAUAUAAUAUAACAGAAACAAUACCUCUCUUAAUCUUUUUACACAACCAUUAUGUUUCCAAACACCAAGUAAUGAAUGUUGCUGGUCUAGAACCCAAACGAUAUGUCAAUAGCUUCACCCUUUCUAAGAUCCCUUUAAGAGUAAGUGCAGAAUAAAUGAAACAGUUGUUCUUCAGCUGCAGGACCACUAAGACCAAAUUAUUGCAUGUAUUAAACACAUAGAUCCACUUAUAGCAAUCAUACCAUAAUCUAGCUAGAAGAAAUUUCAAACUGCAGAAGCAAAUGUUCCAUAUCUUCCACUUUUUUGACGUAAAUAUAUAUAUCUUCCAUGUUUGUUUAAUUAACCAAAAAAAAAUAUCACAUUCGUUACUGAUAAUACCUUGGAAUAUAUGAAUAUUAUCUUGGAUUUUUGUUCUGCCUCCAUAUAUAUAUAAAUGUACCUUUUAUUGCUUUUAGCCACGCAUCUUUUAUAACACUCGGUUUAAAACUUGUUAAUUAGAAAUUAAAACUCAUACAUUUAGUUAAUAAUAGAAAAUGUGUAUAAAUUAAAAUAUUUUGUUAAAAAGCAUACUAUUAAUAUUUCUCUUAGGAUGAAUUUGAUUCUCUAAAAAAUAAGAGAUUGGACAACACAAAAAUAUUUGUAAGUUUGAUUUAAAGAAUAACUGAGAUAUAAUACAAAAUAAAGAAUGAUGGAUUGGACAAAUACCCAAAAACUUAUAACUCACUAAAUCUCAUACAGUUUUUUUUUCAAUGUCUAACAAAAGUAAAAAUACAAUAUUAUCCAUAUUUUUUAACUUUUUAUUAUAUCACACAUUUUUUCUUUUUCCAUGUCUUUUUCUUUAAACCUCCCUUUCCAAACGUCGUACAUUGGCCACCGGUGAGGGCCACCUUGGUCAUCGGUGUGGGCACCUUGGACGCUAAUGAGGGUUGUAUGGACAAAUGUUGUUUUUUUUCUCUCAUUAUUUCUUUCUUUUCAUUCUUAAUUUAUUUAAAUGUUCUCAUCAUCUUCUUCCUUGCUAUGUUUUUUUUUUUUCUUUUGGCCAAAUCUGGCAAGGCCGCAUUGUGCCGCCAUGCCGUCGCCACCACCGCUAUGACCCUAUGACUGCGUCGCAUUGUCAGGUCCUACGCCUGGUGGCGUCAGGGACUGCACCUUUCCCGUGAAGGUGUUUCUCCUUUAUUGCGUUGUCAAGGCGCUGUUAAUGCACCUAGGUUUUUAUAGUAAAAUUUAUAUUAUUUUAUCUAGUACACAAGUACAUUAAAUAAGAUACAACACAAAAAUACCUGUACUAUACAUCAACCACCAAACAACAUAUAAUAUAAAAAGUUGUUUUGUGACUCAACUACUUAUCCAAUAUUAUUUUAUGUGUCCUGUCAUUUUAACAAAUCAAAAUCAUCCUUAACUUUUCAAAAUACAUAUUUUAUGAUGUCAGGAACCCAAGGGAUUUGUGAGAAAUUGAAGAAUAUAGCGAUGAAAGAUAAAAAAAAAAAUCUUGAGGCAGAGAACAGAAACAGGAACAAGAAUAAUGGAGAUUGGAGAAGUAGGGACAGAAAGAGCAGGGAGAUACUCCCACCCUGCACUGCAUGCAUGGGUGCUAUUCUUACACGUGUUAAUAGAUACAUUUAAGUGAUGACUUUGACUUAUAUUAGUUUUUUCUUUUUUUUUACAGAAUGACUUAUAUUAGUUAGAAAUGAUAUGAUUCAUGAAUACCAAAGGGUGGCCACAAAAACACUUUCUUAGGCUAAAAAAUGGUUAAUUUGCUUUAGUACACAAGUAUUACAUAUAUAUUAUAUGGAACAAUCUUAUUCGAGUUGAGGGAAUUAGUCUUAUGAUCAGUAAAAUUUUCCUUAAAAAUAUUUAACGCAGCUAUAUCGCCUUAUACUCUCGUUUACUAUAGGUUUAUUUGCCGAAAAAAAAUGUAUACAAGAUUUGAAUUUGAUAUCACUGGUAACAUGCAUGAAAAAUCUCAUAAAUUUUUUUCCUCUAAAUAUUUAGCAUUAUAAGAUUUAAAUUUGAUAUCAAUAAUAAGAUGAAAUAAUCUCAUUCAAUCAAUCUACGCAUUUAAUUAGUUUGUUUGGUUAAGACAUAUAAAAGAUAAACUAAUGUGAUGAUUUUUUUUUUUCAACGCGAGUUGCAUUGAGUGCAACUGUUCUCAAACACAUCCUUAGAAAUUAAAAGAAUAAUAUUGUUAAUUAUUAAUUUGAUCCACGGGAAAAAAUAAAAAUGACUAUUGUUGGGUAAUAUUUAGUAUAAAAUUUCCUUCUUAAAACAGGGUUUUCAUUCUGGAGGUUCAAAAUCGGACUAAACGCUUAAAUUCUCAUUUUUCUUUUCAAUUUUUUUUUAUCAUGAUGAAUUUAGAAUAUAAAAUAAAAGUUUAACGGUAUUUUUUUUAAACAAUUUGAUAGAAUCACAGGUUGCAAGAUUAGAGUUACUGAGUUUGAAAAGAAAAAAAUAUGAGAUUUUCUUCUUAAUUUUGAACGAUGUAUGAUUAAAACAAUUUAAUGUGUCCAAUUUUUGGUGAUUUUGUUUAGUUUAGGGGGAAAGUCGAUGAAGAAAUCAAACUUAUUCAGUUUUAAAAAUAGAUACUUAAUAAACUCCAAAAAUAAAUUGAGGGAUCAAAAUUGCAUGGAACCCAAAUUAAAAAGACCAAAAAUAUAAUUAAAUCAAGAUAAAUAUUUUAAUAAUGACUCAUCUUAUAAUCAGAAAAACAUAUAAUGGUACACAGAUAUGAUAUAUGCCAUUGAAAACAAGAGUUAUAGUAAUACUCAUAAUCAAGUAACAAUAUGGAACAAAGGAAAUUGCUGAUUAAUAAAAAUGGAACAAAGGAAAUUACUAAAGAUUUUGCAAGCAAUAACAAUUAUCCCAAUUGCGGUCUAAGAUUCCUACUAUUACAUUAAUGGAGCAGUUUUAUUAAUUGUGUUUGAACUUCAAGGGUUUGCAUUUUCUCCAUGUGGAAUCGGACGAGUCAAGCCUAAAGAGGAAGAUCCUGAAGGGUUAGAAGGCAACAAAGGCAUGGUAGAUGGUGUAAUUGGCAUGAAUGGAAGAGAGGGUAAAGGAGGCAAUUUGGGGAGAGGUGGAAACCCUGGAAGUGAAAAUGCUGGUGUAAUUGGUUGUGGGAAAGAUGGUAUUGGAGGCAGUGUUGGUGACAAAGGGUUGGGAACAAAAUUUGGGUUUGGGAAUAGUGGCGCAAAUGAAGGUAACUCUGUUACCAAAUGCUCUUUUGUUAGCUUGUUUUCAUCUAAAAAUAAGCGACUUGCAAAUGAAAAUUGGAUGUUGCUGGGGAGUAGCGCAAGACCAAGGAUGAUUAGUUGAAGGUGGGUGGAAUUGAAAGUCAUCAUGUGGUGGAGGGUUUAAGUUUAAAACUGAGAUAGAAGAGUCAAAGGAAUUGAGAUAUAUAGGUGAUGAAGAGUACAUGCAGGCAAUUGUCUUUUAGAAUAUAUAUAUAUAUAUAUAGAAAUGUGGGGGUGGGGGGUACGUAAAAGGUGGUUGUGCGUUUCAGCUUCAUUUCAUGGUAUUUCUACUUGGUACCUAACUUUUGGGUCGUCCUAAAGUAUGAAUUUGACUUCAAACAUCAAAAUAAUUUAGUUCGAUGAUAGUAAGUUUGAGUUAAUUUAUGGGAUUGAUUUAUAUUUUUAUUGGUUUGUGUAGGUUCUUUUUAACAAGUAGUGGAAGCACCUACAAGCUAAUUGCUUGUGUCCUAUCUUAUGCUUUUUUUUUCUACGGAGUGUCCUAUCUUAUACUUUAUAAUAAAAAUGAAGCAUUAAUACACAGGAACAAUGGCAAAAAAAAAAAAAAUCACAUAAAUACAGCUUGAAAUUAAGUACUUUAAAAAUGACGGCAAAAAACUAUAGUGGACCACCUUAGUAGAUGGUUUAGGUGGAAUUCACCAUUGAUCAUAAAUAAUAACCAUCAAAUUGAUCUCAUGUUCAUAAAGUUACAAUCUUGUUAAUGGUAAUCCAAUUAGUGAAUUUGAGUUGGAAAAUGGCCAUAGACAAGGAGAUCACUUGGUUCAUUUUCUUUUUACUACUAUGGCCGAAGGACUUAGUGGUUUUAUAGACAAAUGAUAAAAAAAGAAUUUGUUCAAAGGGAUUCUUUGUGGGGGAUAAGAUGGUAGAUGUUAAUCUAUUGUAAUAUAUGGAUGAAAUUAUUUUCUUUGGUGAGACAACUUUGAAUAAUGUGAGAAUUACUAAAUCCUUUAUGAGGUGUUUUGAAUUGACUUCAAGGCUUAAAGUUAAUUUCUUAUAAGUGAUUUUGGGGCUUUCGGUGUGGAGGAGAGAGUUGUGGAUAGAUAUGGGAUCUCUUGAUUUGUACCUAGAAGACUAUCCUUGUCUUUCACUUACUUGGGAUUCCUAUUGUUGCUAAUUCCAGAACAGAAGAAACUUGGAAGUUUGUAAUUUCUAAAUUCCCAAAGUUGUCCAUGUGGAAGCAUAAAACUCUUUCUUUGGCGGGUAGGGUGUGCCUCAUAAACUUGGUAUUUACCUCUCUACCUCUUUUUUUAUGUCUUUUUUUAAAAUGCCUUAGUGUGUUGUGAGGAAAUUAAAAUAGAGAGGAUUGGUUGUCCUAGGAGUCACGGUGGAUUGGGUAUCAACGGCUUAUCCAUGUUCAACGAUGCAUUUUUAGCUAAAUGGAUGUGGAAUCUUUUCCGCCAAAUAGAUAGCCUUUGGAGUAAGGUUUAAAUUUCAAAGUAUGAUGAGCGGAGGAACCUUGUUGAGUUUGAGGAGAAGUAUAGAAUUUAUUUGGUGGAGAGAUUUGUGGGGGAUAUGAUAUUAAAUGGUUUGUUAGCUUGGUAGAUUGAAAGUUAGAAGAAGGGGGAAACACUUCCUUUUGACUAUAUGUGUUGUUAAAUGAUGAUGUGACAUUGAUUUUAUUAUAUUUUUUAGCAGUUUUUAACAAUUUAUGGGAGUUAAAAACCACUAUAAUUGCUUCUAUCUUACACUUUAUUACGUUCUCGUGAAUAACCUGACCCCAAUUCAAAUCAUCAAAAAAGUCUUAGAUCUCAACAUAUUUUGGGAACAAUCCCAUCUAAGAACUUUACCCAAAAACAUAACAUAAAUAAGAACUAUGUUAGAAAAAUCUAUUAUCUGGAUUUUAAUUUUAAUCUACAAAUAAAACUCAAGGGGUUUUGGUAUCUCCUCAUUGAUUCCAUGGCUGACGAUCUAAGAAGCACAGACACAACUAUGAAGUGGCAUGUUGAGGUGUUUGUUGUGUCUCCGACAUGAACAUGGCUCAGACACGGCAAAGAAGUGUCCUCUUUUUUUUUCUAGGUCGGACACAGAUCAAACACGACCAAACAAUGAUGACACAGCGCUUGGGACUCGAUCCAAUCAAUGGACAUAGACACUUUUGUUUUUUAUUUUUUAAUUUUAAAAUUGAAAUAAAAAUUAGUAAAAAAGAAGGUAGAAGACAAAACGAACCAUUGCCUUCUCGAGUCUAUUCUCCUUCACAUUUCUUUUUCCCUCUUUGUGUGACAUUGUCCUUGAGUCACCUUCUAUCGUCGUUUGACCUCAAACCAGCCUUCAUUCAUCAGCGUCGUCAUCACACAAUACAGCCUCACCAACGUUGCAAUUCGAACUUGAACCAAACAACAUCUUCUUCGUCACAACUCACAACCUCAUCAUUAACAACCUCACACGGUUGCUAUAAACCACGCCAUCGUCGCACCAAAACAAGGUUUAAUUUUUACUUCCUUCCCCUGUUUAUGUUUGUUUCCUUUAUUUUCAUAGUUGGGUUUCUUAGUUCCUUGAUUUUCUUCCCAUUUUUUUGUGCGAUUGGGCCAUUGGGGUUCUACUUAAGUGAGUUGGGGCUUUUGAUAAAUUUUCAUAAUAAGGGGUUCAAAACAAGUGAUGUAUUUUAUUUGUAAAUUUUUAGUAAAUUAUUUGUGGUGUAAGAUAUUUUUUUUGCGAUGGAGAGAAAAGUUUUGUGUUGGUGUAAGCUAGUUUAUACUUUAUACUUUAUAAAUUAUAACUUUGCCAAUGAUGUGUUAUACUUAUAUUGUAUAUUGUAGUUACAUAAUUUUCAGCGUUGAAACUUCAUGCUAAUAUCUUGUAGUUACAUAUUUGUAAAUGCUUUGCAUUAUAUUUAUAAUUUGAGACUUGUUGUCUUGUUGCGUUUGUUGUCACACAAGCACACACACGACAACCUGUCAUUCAUUCAAGUAACAUAUUUGAAUGGAGGAGUGGAGAUGUAUAUUUGGUAAACAUUAUUGCAAUUUUAGAAACUUUAAAAUAAGAGGAAUAGAAAGCAAAAUUAACAAGUAACCUUCCUAUCAUCCUGAUGAGGACAAGGCAAGGAACCUUUAGAAGGACUUGAAGGACCUAUGGCAAGGGCUAGAACAAAGAAGGCCAAGGAAGCUCUUCAACAAGUAUUAACCAUGCUAUUUGAAUUUAGGCCCAAGUUACAAGUGGAGAAACUUCGGAUUGUUAAUUGCACCAUGUUCCAAGAAGAGUAGAGGGUGCCACUUUUGUUGAGUGGUUUUAUUAGCAUUUUGUUAGUUGAAAUAAAGGCCCAAACUUGUGUUUAAGUGGCUGUCAAUUCUCUUGGGAUUUGCACCACCUAUGGGCUUGUUUUAAUUUAAAUAAAUUUAAGGUUUAAUAAGGUAAAAACUCUAGGAUUGUGGCUGCCUCUUGGCUGACCAAGGAGUUGCACAAUUUUCCAUAUGUUUAUGUGUCUUAAUUCUAGUUUUAAUUAGGUAUAAUGACACCAUCAAUUGUUGUUAUCAAUUCUAGUUUUAAUUAGGUUUAAUGACACCAUCAAUUUUUGUUAUUGGUGAUCAUUUCACUAGUGUAACCAACUUGAUGCCAUUCCUAUUUAUAGGCUGCACAUUUUCUAAUAAAGAAAUAGACCUUGAAUUUGAGUUUUAAUCACCUUCUAAAGUGUGAGAGUAAAUCUCCUUAGUUACUUGAGUGAUUCAAGAAAUUGGUUUAUCAAGGAACACCACCUUGUGUGUGACACCAAUUCCGGAGGAGUGAUUCUUCUAACCCGCUUCUUCAUUCUCCUUCUUCAUCUUUCUAAACCUUCAUUCUUUAAUCCUACUUGAACACCAUUGUUAUUAUCUUUAUUUUCCAUCCAAACACAUUCAAACUUUGAACCAAAUACCUUAUAUUCAACCCUCCAUAAACUUGUCACUUUCUCUCUCGUUCAAUAAAUUUCAUAAAAAAAAAAGAAAGAAAAACCUUUGAAGAUCCAUCUUCAACCCUUGUGCAAAUGGGUUUACAUCACAUCCCUUGUUGAUUUUUAUAAAUACUUUUAUGAAUGUUUUAUUGCAUAUUAUUAUUUCUUAUUGUAUCUAUUUGCUUUGGUUUUAUGGUAUAGAUGAGUGGUGCUACUAAUCAAGCUACAAACCAAGAAAAUGAAAGUAGACCUCUAUGAAAAUAUGUUUCACAAACAAGACAUCUAAAACAACAAAGAUGUCUAGUGGUGGAAAUUAUGAGAUCAAGUGAAACAUGUGUGAACUUCUAUUCAAUGGAUCUUACCACUAGAGUAAAGGCUCAAUUACCAAAAAUCUCAAGAGCAGCAGUUUCAGUCUUUUCGAAGGUAACUCCUUCAAAACUUGUGUCCCUUUACCUCCGGUCUCUAAUGAAGGUCAAGAAACAAACAUUGGUGUUAAUCCAAAUGAGAGACAUCCUUUAGAAGCUUCUUUCAAUGUGCAAGGCAAAGAUACUCUUGAUUGUGAAAUUACAAGGAUGUUUUACUCUUCUGAUCUACUAUUUCAUUUAGCAAGGAAUCCUUAUUAUAGGAAGGAAUUUUUUUAUGUUGCUUGAUAAAUCAUUAUUUGAUUGUAUUUGGACCCCAAUUUUUUGUCCCAUUUUGUCUUAUUUUUACUUUAUUUUGUUUGUAGAGCUCAUGAGUAUAUGUUAAGUGUGAACAGUUGAAUAAGGAAGUUCAUAAAGAGGCAAAAGCACCAAAGUAGAUAAGAAAAUGAGAGUUUUGAGAAUUUCUUACUGAGCACAACUUGUGUUGAACCUGCAGGUGCUAAAUUAACACCCCAAAUCCUCGUAGAAAGCUAUGCUCACCCAGCACGACCCGUGCUGACCCAGCGCAACUCAUGUUGGCCUUUAUACUACAACUUAUUUUAAACAUUAUAAAUAGAAGUGUAAAAGGUCUUUUAGGUUAUGCUUUAUUUUAUUUAUAAACAACAAGAGCUUUUGGGAGGAGAACUGCACCGGGAACAAUUGAGGUCUGAAUCUGUAAGGAUUUUUAAUCUCUUUUAUUAAUGCAAUAUUGUAUGUUGUUUAGCUAUUUUAUGGACAUGGUUGGCUAAAUCCCUUAGACUCAUAUUGUGAUGUCGCUAUACCCAUGCACUCUAAUUUCUCUUUUUAAUAAAGUUCUUUAAGGUUAAUAAUUGAUUGUAUUUUUCUAUUAUUUUCACUUCUAUAUUGGAAUUGAUCACUCUGAUUAUAGGAAAUUAUGUGUUUGUGAUCAUUUUCUCGUAAUUAAUUGAACUAUAGAAUGAUAGAAUUCAUAAAGCUUGCAUGACCAAACUAGUGGCAUGAAUCUCCUGUUUACAAACCUCUAUGUUAUUCAUCUUUAACCCUAAAUUAAAUCCCAAAUAACCAAUGCAACAUUGGUUUAGAGGGAAGAGUAUUCUCAGACCAUGACCAUAGCCUAAUAAUUAAAAUAAGAGGUAUUAGGCAAUUAAUUGGUAACUGAUAUUUCUUAAUUAAAAUAUGAAUUAUGGGAAAAACGGUACAUGCGAAAUCAUAAUCUGAGUCACUUCUCUUCAUACAUAUCUUUUCUUGAAAUUGUUGUUUGUCUUUAGUUUUAUUUUCUCAAACACAAACACAAACAGUCCCCAACUCUAGAUAAAACCCCCCAAAAUUAUUUAGUUUAUGCAAUUUAAAUUAUUUGGGAACACAAGUAGUCUUUAGGGUAUAAUAUUUGUACUUUUGAGUCUAUUGUUGUUACUGCGUAGGGUACACUUGCCUUUAGCGAGUACAUAUUUUACACAUUAUUGCUAAAUCUUCUAAUAUCAAUGGGUAUGUACCUCAAGGUUACAAUAAGUUUAUAACAACCUUGCUUACAAAGGAAAAAAAAGUCACAUGGAGAACCUAUUGCAGUCAAUAAAAAAAUUCAUUGAGUCAGAAAGGGGUGAGAAUUGUUAGUGAUGGAUAGAGUGAUCCUCAAAGAAGACCUCUUAUCAAUUUAUGGUUGUCACUGAGAAUGGACCAAUGUUUUUAAGGGCAUUAGACUACUCAAGUGAGGUAAAAGGCAAGGAUUUCAUUGCUAAACACUUGAGAUAUGCCAUCAACUUAUUAUGGAGGUUGGGAUAUUAAAAAUGUCAUGCGAAUUGUGAUCGAUAAUGCAACUAUAUGUAAGGUAGUAGGUUUUCUCAUAGAAACAAAGUUUUAUUCCAUCUAAUGGACUCCUUGUGUUGUGUAAACCUUGAACUUUGCAUUAAAAAAUAUAUGUUUAACCAAGAACACCGAAAGAAACAAUGUUCUUGGAUUACAUAAAUUGUGAAAGAUGUUGGUUAUACUAAAAACUUUAUCAUGUGACACUCUAUGAGAUUAUCAAUGCUUAGCAACUUCAAAUUAUUGAAGUUUUUUUUUGUUGUUCAGACCAAAUUUGCUUCUACCAUAGUAAUACCCAAGAGGUUUAGAAGUUUUAAAAAAGGAUUGCAAGAGAUAGUUAUUAGUGAUCAUCGGUAUUCUUACAAGGAGGAUGAAAUCAACAAGGCUUUAUUUGUGGAAGAAACUUUGUUGAGUGGUAUUUGGUGGGAUAAGGUUAAUUAUAAGCUUGCUUUCACCGCUUCUAUGUAUGAUGUUCUUAGAAAAAUAGAUACGAAUGUGACUUCUCUUUACUUGGUAUAUGAAAUGUGGGAUUCAGUGAUUGACAAAGUGAGAAAGGUCAUAUACCGACAAGAAAGAAAGGCAGGAAUUGAAGAAUUAAAAUUUUAUAAUGUCAGACCCUAAUUUCAUCCGGGGACUAUUGUUCACUGAUAUUUUGAUUCUUGCUAGUUGAAUUACAGAGUUUGACACCAGUUACAGUGCAAAGCAAGGAAUUACUCAGUGCUUUGAUCAAGAAAACAAAAAGUUACCGAGGAAGAGGGCAAAACAGUCUUUUUUUUAUUUUUCUAGACCCUAGCUCGCCCAAGCUAGCAUUUGGCUCGUUUGGGCCAUGAAGUUGCUUCAUACCUAAGAAACCAGCUCGCUUGGGCGAGCUCAUUCCUUUAGGGCUAAGCAUCAGCUUGCCUGGGCGAGCUUCAACCGCCCCAAAAUGGCUUUUUCCAUAUAAAUAGGCAUGUUAAGGGUGUUUUAAGGGGUUCCAAGGUUCAGGAGUUGAGAGGAUUGAGAGAAGAGAAAAAGAAGAAGAAGAAAGAAAAAGAAACGAAGCCGAAAUACUACCGAAUCAUGACCAUGAUCAUUCCCUACAUCGUUUUAUUGUUUUGUGUUCCUCGUGAAAUUGUCGAUUAGUUUUGUUUUUAAGGAUUGAAUGUGAUCUAUGUACCCUUAGGGGUCUCCUAUGUUAUUAUGCGCAUAUUCAUCUUCUCCAUCUAUCAUCAGUAGUCUCAUUUAUUUGUAAAGUUUAAAUCUUAAUUGAUCACUAGUUCCGUAAAAUUGUCUUUAAAGAGGUUGAAAGUUAAUAAACAAAACCACAAUAAAAACCAACUCAUAACUAAACUUCUCUCCAUAAAAAAAAAUCACUUGAGAUCAUUUCAAGGUCCAACACCUUAACGACCUUGUUGUUUGUAAUUAAAAUGAAUCUUUCAAAAGCAUAAAACCAACUCAACACACAAACUUUCUCACUUUAAAGAACUACAUAGGUCUGAAUUUCUCAUCGCACUUGAGGAUACGUAGGAGCAAGCGCAGCCCCCUUGUCGACCCAAAUAUAUAUAUAUAUAUAUAUAUAUAUAUAUAUAUAUAUAUAUAUAUAUAUAUAUAUAUAUAUAUAUAUAUAUAAAGGAAAAAUAAAAAAUAUUGAAGUCAUGUUGUGCACACUUGAUUAAAGUUCGUCGUCCCUUGUAACGGACGUGUGGGAUGCUAAUACCUUCCCUAUGCGUAAACAACUCUCAGACCCUUAUUUCUAAAAUUCACUGACCUUUUUUUUGUUUUUUCUAACGUUUUCCUUAAAGAAACGUUGGUGGCGACUCCCACACAUUUUUUUUAGAAUACGCCUUUUUGAUUUUUUCCUGCAUGCCCGUCGUAGGGUAGGUUGUGACAGAUGACGACUCCGUUGGGGAAUUGCCAGAGAGUUAAGCCAUUCGAUUAGUGUGCAAUUUUAUCGUGACUUCUUCUUUGUUUAUGUUUCCUUUUCUUUUUUAUCUUUUGUUUUGCUCAUAUUUGUGUAUAACCUUUGCUAUGUUAUUGUCUUUUGGUGUGUAUCUGUCUAUCUACUACAUUCGUAGUUUAGAAAUAUUCUUUUUGUGCCAUUAAAUCAUGUGGUAGACAAGAUGUGAUGUACUUGUUGCAUCUACCUGGGAGUUGUUUGUUUGCUUGGCAAGUAGAGUGGGGUGAUUCUUAGAUUGCUCUAUGCACACAUGACACUUACACUUUUGCACACACGUUGAGAUGUUAGGCCCUAUACCUGGGUCUGUGUGAGCCAUAGGGAGUGGAGGUCGAUUUGCGAUCAUGUUGGGUCUCUAACUCGCUUGAUAAUAGUGAAGCCUCAUCUAGAGUUUUCCUCUUUUGGUAAGACAUUGACGCUGGUAGUCCCUAUCGUCACAAUGUUGUUACCAAAGAGGAUGAUAUCUCUAGAAGCCAUUAAAAGUUACAUAAAUCCACCCUUGGGAGUUGUCACUGGAUAGCAAACUUUUUUAUCCUUUCCAUUAGGUUCUUGAAUUAGGGACAUAGAACAAACUCACCAUGUUUUGUUUCAUUGAUCAAAUCAUGUAUAUCUUCAUAAUGUCAUAAUAGUACAUAUGAUUCUUGUAUUUACCAUUUUAUCAUGUUCACACGCGGCAUUUUGCAUAAAUCAUUACAUUGUCAUACUUGUUCGUUUAGCAUGUUUUAUUUGUGCUACCAAUCACAUACCUUCUGUUUUCAUUAUUCGUUAUGUUCACUCAUGCAUACUCCCGCCAUAUAGUUGCUCAUGCCUUGCAUUCUUUUUCUUUGCCGUCAAAGUCACAAUGAAGUGUGAAAGUCUGCAUCGUAUUCUUAGUUGCAUGAGUUGGGUACCAUGGUAAUAACUGCAAACAAACCAUGAUUAGGUUCAUACAUUUCUUUCUCUCGAUGAUGAUUGAGAGUCGUAUGAACAUGGUACCCAAUGCAUUGUUAAUAAGAAAGGGUGGUCUUUCGGGCAUUUUCCGUCAGUUUGAUAAAUACGUUUGUCAUGCAUAGCCUAACCAUGCCCUGUUUCAUUCAAUCCCCUCUAUGAUAGGGUGUUGAAGUAUUGGUCAUCAAAAUUUCCAUUCUUGUGAACAUGGGGUCGGACCAAGGGUCGUCUUUUAAGAAAAGGUUCUAUCAUGUCAAAGUCAAAAAUCUAGAAGUAGCCAGCUUGCGAAAACUGGGUCAGCAGAUGGGUCAAGUUCAACGUCAGGCUUUUAGCAAGGUAUAUGGGAAGAUCUGAGAUCUGUCAAUGAUAAAAGUGUCAAUUGAAGUCAUUGCAUCUCUCACUCAAUACUAUGACCAAUCACUCAGAUGCUUCACUUUUGAGGACUUUCAAUUAGCCCCAACCAUAGAGGAGUUCGAAGGGAUCUUAGGAUGCCCGAAAGGAGGAAGGAAACCAUACCUUUUUCUGGGUACUAUCCUUCUAUGGUGAGAAUAUCAGGAGUGGUCAAGAUCUUGGAACGAGAAUUAGAUCGAGUGAAGCAAAGUAGGAAUGGAGUAGCGGGAAUACCAAGGAAGUGCUUGGAGAAGACGAAAACUCUGGCAAGCCAAGGGGAGUGGGUAUCAUUCAUCAACAUAUUAGCACUGCUAGUGUUUGGGACAGUUCUAUUUCCAAAUGUAGACGGGCUGGUGGAUCUAGCAGCGAUUGACGCUUUUCUUGCUUAUCACCACAGCAAGGAAAGCUCGGUCAUUGCUAUUUUAGCAGAUGCGCAUGAUACAUUCAACUUGAGAUGUGAGAAGAGCAGUGCGAGGAUUGUUUGUUGUAUGCCUGCUCUUUAAGUAUGGUUGGUAUCCCACGUCUUUAAUCAUGAAAGUAGAUCUGUCUGUCCCCUACAAGGUCAUCGCAUGUGCUCGGGAAAGGACAAAGCAAAUUAGGAAGAACUCUUGGCAGGCAUGACGGGAGUGUCCAUUAGUUGGUUUCCACGGUGGAAAGAAGGAAGGGCAAAAGUGUUAUGCUCAUGUGAAGGACUUCCAAAUGUCCCUUUGAUAGGGACGAGGGGUUGUAUUAAUUAUAAUCCCAUGUUAGCCAUAAGACAGUUAGGAUACCCUAUGAGAGGUGCACCAUCGGAGGAGACCAUCGCGCCUUUCAUCGCGUGAGGUUUCAAUGAAGCUAAUACGAAGAUGCUUCAGAGGAUCCGUAAGGCAUGGAAUAAAGUGGAAAGAAAAGAUAAAGAACUUAAGGGAAGUAGCAAUGGUAUCAUAGGCGACUAUUACAAGUGGUUGAAAUCUAGAAUGAAAGGGAUGAUUUGGCUCCAAAAGAUAAAGGGUCUGAAUAGGAAGAGGCUGAAAUGCCUGAGGAGAAUGAAGAGGUGCAAGCCUUGAAAGUUGAGCUCGAAAAGACAAAUUAGCGAAGGAGAAGCUAAAGGUGGUAGUCACUAGGGUUAGGAAAGAAUGUGAUGAGCUGAAAGAUAUCAACAUGAUCGCGGAUGAAACGCUAGAGCGGGAAACGUAAAGGGCCAAAAAGGAAGAGUGGAGCAAAAACAAGUUUCGAGGGGCUUUGUUAGGCAGCAGUAAUGAGCUCAAACUUAGAAAGGUUGAGAGGGACAAAUCAAGGAUGGAAAGCACGAUGUUAGAGGAUAAGUUAAAGAGUUAUCAGAGGUUGAAGAGAAGUUUGAUAGAGCAGUUGAGCAAGAUGGAAGAGAAUAUGUUGAUAAUCAUUGGUCAAUAUAAAGAGAAAGUGAACCUAGCUGCCAAUCACGGGCAGAUGCUGGAAGAAGAACAAGCGAAGGUGUUGGCCUUGUGGAUUGAAAGGGAAGCAAGAGAAGGGGUGAUAGAGUUAUUGCAUAAAGAAGCCAUGAAAUUGAUGGAUAGAUUUGCUCUCACUUUGAAUGAGAGUCAAGAGCUUCCAAGGUUGUUAGUCAGAGCCAAGGCAGUGGCUGACACAUAAUCUACUCCCGAUGAAGUUCACAGUCUUUUCAAUUACUUCCAACACAUGCUUAAACUAAUGACCCACAUAAUUAGGAAUCGCUUAUGUGUCUAUGUUGUAUUUCUAGUUAUGCUUUAGCUCUGACAAGAUGAACAAUGUUGUUUUUAAUGAAAAUUAGAUUUGAUUCGACCCUAUGUUCUACUGAAUGUCCUAUGUAAAAUUCAUGAUACUUAAACAACUUAUCAUUGUCAUGCAUUCACGUUUAUUUAGUUGUUACACUACUCAUUGCAUUCUUUCCUUCACAGUCUUCAUCGUCGUCGUCAUCGUCAAAACAUAAUCAUAGUAAUAAAAAAGAACGAAUGCGCUUUACGACACCCUUACCGAACACGUGUCAAGGCUAGAAUCAUGAGUGAGAUAGAGGAAGUUCAAGAACAAAUGAAGGCUGACAUAGAGGCCAUGAAAGACCAAAUAACCACCAUGAUGGAGGCCAUGAUGAGUAUGAGAAAAAUGAUGAAGGUCAACGCGGUUACAAUCGCUACCACAAGUACCGCCACUGAUGUGGACCCGACUCACCCAUCUGGUAUUAACCAAGUAAAUCAUCCAGUCCUGGAUAUGGUAGGUCAUGGAGGUGAAGCAUUGGGAAGUACGGGCGGCCCCUAUUUUGUACAGAUCCAGAGCAAGCAUCCUUUCCCACCAUAUGGUUUGCCUCCCAACUACGCACCACCCAAUGUUGCACACGCGCCCGAUGAGAAUGUCGACAACUCCGCUCUCAUACCCAUUGAGAGCCAACAAUCCCAAUCUGGUCAUGCACAUGCCUCUCAACCCAUGGGGGAGACACAUGAAGUACCCCGAGACCACACUCUGGCCGACUUCGAGCCUCACCUCGGAUAUGCCACUGAGGGGCAAACAUUUGGUGGCGUACCCAUGCCAAACACCUUGGGGGGCCGUCAGUAUCGCCCACAACCAUAACUACAACCCUUACAUUUUGCGGUGGGAAGACUUCCUCCUGCCAUGGUGGAAAGGGAAAAACUCGAUCAUAUAGAAGAAAGGCUGAGAGCCAUUGAAGGAGGCAGAGACUAUCCUUUUGUCGACAUGGCAGAACUGUGCCUAGUGCCCGACGUCAUCAUUCCUCCGAAGUUCAAGGUGCCGAAUUUCGACAAAUACAAGGGGACUACUUGCCCCAAGAAUCACCUGAAGAUGUACUGCUGGAAAAUGGGAGCAUACGCGAAAGAUGAAAAACUCUUGAUGCAUUUUUUUCAAGAAAGUUUGGCUGGAGCAGCUAUCACUUGGUACACCAAUCUAGAAUCUUCCCGGGUUCAUUCCUGGAAAGACCUAAUGGCUACCUUCAGCAGGCAAUACCAAUACAAUUCCGAUAUGGCCCCGGAUAGAAUGUAGUUGUAAAACAUGUGUAAAAGGGAGCAUGAAUCCUUCAAAGAAUAUGCCUAGAGAUUGAGGGAUCUGGCGGCUUAAGUAGCACCCCCAAUGAUGACAAUGAUAGUAGACACUCUACCUGUGUUCUACUAUAAGAAGAUGGUGGGAUACGUGCCCUCGAGUUUUGCAGAUCUGGUAUUUGCAGGCAAAAGGAUCGAAGUAGGCCUAAGAAUGAGCAAAUUUGUUUAUACUGCUUCGACGAGUUCUGGCAAUAGGAGGCCUAGGGCAGGUGGAGCAAAGAAAAAGGAGGGAGACACCUACGCCAUGACCACAACACCCACAUGGCAAGGCUUCCAACAAACCCCUCAUAACCCCAUGUACCAGUAUCCCCCGCACCAAUAUAAUUACUUGGCCAAUAUUGGCUCUCCCCCCUGCCCAAUGCCUUUCCGACCAAGAACGCCCAAUCAACCACAAAGACCUCCCCAACCGCACCCAAAAAUCCAGUCCCUACAUAGCCUAGAUCGAGUACAAAUCCCAACCUCAAUACAAACACCAACCUAAGGAGGAACUUCCCAGAGAGAAAACCCGCGGAGUUCACCCUAAUCCCAAUGUCGUAUGCUGACCUACUAGUCUGCUACCAUCCUUGCUCAGCAACCAAAUGGUUGUAGUAAGCCCGGGAAAGGUCUAUCAACCUUAAUUUCCCCGAUGGUAUAAUCCUAACGCCACAUGCGCCUAUCAUGGUGGCGUCCUGGGGCACUCCGUCGAGCAAUGUGUAGUUUUUAAGCACAAAGUACAAAGUUUGAUUGAUGCGGGAUGACUUACAUUUCAAGAGGAUAGUCCCAAUGUAAGGACUAAUCCAUUUGCAAAUCAUGGAAGCUCGUCGGUGAACGCGGUGGGAGAAGGGAAAUUUAAGGAGUUAAAAUAGAUAGGGGAUGUAUUGACUCCAAAAUGAUUCAUAUUGGAGGCGUUGCACGAGGCCGAUGUGAUUGAAUGUGACGAUAAUAAGGGAGAUAUGUGCUUGAUGUAUCUAGGGGCGUUGCACGAUGUAGAAAGAUGCCCAAUAAUUGAGGAGUUGCUGCAGGGACUGAUAAGUAGGGGUCAAAUUGAAAUCCACAGUGCAAAAAAGGAGGAAGGAGAAGUAUUCAUGCAGUCGAGUGAUAGAAGCCCAAGUUAGCCUAAGCCUUUGGUGAUUUAUUUCACCAAAGAUAUUACCACUCAGAUACCUCAAGGUUUCCAGCCCUAUGUAGCAAAGACGCCAACACCCUUCCCUUAUAAAAGUGACAACGCAGUACCGUGGAGGUAUGACAUGCAAGGAUCCGACGGAAGGCAAGAUGCGUCUGUCAUGCAUGUUGGGACUGGGAUGUCGGCUGCUAAGAUCAUGAAUAUUUUCAGUAUGAGCAGCAUGACUCAUAGUGGAUGUGUUUUCGCUCCUCCCAAACUACCAGCAAGGUCGAAGGACAAGGGGAAGGCAAAGGCAACUAUGGGCAAGAGGCAGAAAAUGGGCCUGACCGCGAAUAACGAGGCCUAUAUCGGAAAGUUUGCAUAGGAAGGGGACGAGCUUAGCAAGAGAGAGAUAUCGGUUGAGGAGGCAAUCGAAUUUCUGAGAAUCAUUCAAUAGAAUGAAUUCAAAGUAAUUGAGUAAUUGAACAAAACUCCAGCCAAGAUCUCUUUAUUAGGGUUGCUCAUGCAUUUCAAGCCUCAUCGAGCGUUGUUGGUAAAAAUCUUGAACGAGACCCAUGUGGCGCACGACAUAUCUGUGGAAGGUUUUGGGGGAAUAUUCAACAACAUCACUGCAAACAAUUACCUGACUUUUGCUGAGGAUGAGAUGCCAGUUGAGGGCAAGGGGCACAACAAGGUCUGCAUGUAUCUGUCAAGUGCAUGGACCACAUAAUGGCCAAGGUACUCAUUGACAACGACUAUUCUCUCAAUGUUAUGCCCAAAAUGAAAUUGGAUAAAUUUCCAUUUGAUGCAUCGUAUAUGAGGCCAAGCUCCAUGGUGGUAAGGGUUUUUUAUGGUAGCUAUCGUGACGUGAAAGGAAAAUCAAUCUCCCGAUUUAGAUUGGGCCAUACACGUGCCAGAUAACUUUCCAAGUGAUGGACAUAAAACCCGCCUACAUUUACUUGUUAGGUCGGCCUUGGAUCCAUUCUGUUGGGGUGGUCCCAUCAACAUUACACCAGAAAUUGAAAUUUGUGGUGGAGGGUCAGCUGGUUAUAGUAUUAGACGAGGAGGACAUACUAAUGAGUUGUUUGUCUUCUACGCCUUAUGUUGAAGCUACGGAGGAGUUUCUAGAGACGUCGUUUCAAGAGUUAGAGAUCGUGAAUAAUGCUUAUGUGGAGUCUCCUCCGGUACAACCAUGUUUGUCUGGUGCCUUUUUGAUGGUAGCCCGAGUUAUGCUAAAAGAUGGUUAUGAGCCUAUAAUAGGUUUGGGCCGGAAUAGUGAUGGCAUGACAAGCUUGUUGAAAACCUUGGGAGGUUCGAUCUGGGUUACAAGCUGACAAAUGCUGCCAAGAGGAGGAUUUCUUUGGAAAGGAAAGAAAGAAUAUUAGCCCGUUUACAAGGGAGGGGACCACAGGUGGAAAGGGUCCCUAUUUGUCACAUCAACGAGAGCUUUGUUAGCGCGGGAUGGAUGCACGAAGAUCAAGUUGUUGUGUUGGAUGAAGAAACCAAUCAAGAUCAGCCAAAUUAGGUGCAGUCGUGUUCCCCAGGCUUUGAAUUGAAGAACUGGCAGAUCAUGGAGCGACCUGAGAUUUCUGUGUCAAAUCCAAUGUAAUCAAGUAGUUUGGACCCUAUUGCUAGGCCUAGGCUUUAGGGUCUACUUCUCUUGUUGGGCAUACUUUCCUUUAAUUUUCCAACAAUUAUUAAUAUACAAACCUUUUAUUGAGAUGUUCCCGCUUGCACCUUUGUCCGUUUCAUUUUUCUGCAUAUUUAUUUUCAUUGCGAUUAAAUGAUUUGACGCGGAUCGGACAAUGAGUCCUAUGAAAGUAGUGAUACCGAGGACCCGAAUGUUGACUUUGAGCGGCCAGUAAAUCAAGUCGAGGAGGAAGAAAAUAAGGAUUGGGGGCUUCCCUCAUAUUUAAGGAGAAUGGUGGAACAAGAAGAAAGAGAGAUGAAGCCACAUCAAGAGGAGACAGAGGUUGUGAAUUUGGGCACUGGUGGAGAGAAAAAGGAGGUCAAGAUUGGCACUUGUGUGUCCACGAACGUCCAAGAUGAGUUAGUGGCUCUGUUGCGAGACUACCAAGACAUCUUCGCUUGGUCUUACCAGGAUAUGCCUGGUUUGAGCUUAGAAAUUAUACAACACAAGCUACCUUUGAAUCCCGAGUUCUCCCCGAUGAAGCAAAAAUUGAGGAAAAUGAAACCUAAGAUGUCUCUAAAGAUAAAGGAAAAGGUAAAGAAACAAUUCGAUGCAGGUUUUUUGGCCAUUGCCUAGUACCCAGAAUGGGUCGCCAAUAUCAUGCAAGUCCCAAAAAAGUAUGGGAAGGUGCGAAUGUGCAUGGACUAUCGAGAUCUAAACCGAGCCAGUCCAAAGGAUAAUUUUCCUUUAUCGCACAUCGACGUUCUCAUGGAUAACACGACCAGUUUUUCCCUAUUCCCUUUCAUGGAUGGAUUUUCAAGUUAUAACCAGAUAAAGAUGGCACCGGAGGAUAUGGAAAAGACAACUUUCAUUACUCUAUGGGGAACCUUCUACUAUAAGGUGAUGUCAUUUGGACUAAAGAAUGUUGGGGCAACCUACUAGCAGGCCAUGGUGGCAUUAUUCCACGACAUGAUGCACAAGGAGAUCGAGGUCUAUGUGGAUGACACGAUUGUGAAAUCAAGAACGGAGGAGGAACACCUAGUCAAUUUGCGAAAGUUGUUCGGGCAACAACGUAAAUACAGGUUGAGACUAAAUCCCGCGAAGUGUACGUUUAGGGUAAAGUCCGAAAAGUUUCUCAGCUUUGUGGUUAGCCAGAGAGUAAUAGAGGUGGAUUCAGACAAGGUGAAAGCGAUCAUCGAGAUGCCCGAGCCAUGUACAGAGAAGCAAGUCCGGGGUUUCUUGGGGAGGUUGAACUACAUCGCAAGAUUCAUAUCAUAGUUAACUGCCACUUAUGAGCCUCUUUUCAGAUUGUUGCAUAAGAAUAAGUCUGUCAAAUGGGACGAUGAUUGUCAAGUAGCAUUUGAGAGAAUUAAAUGGUGUUUGAUGAAUCCUCAUGUGCUCGUGCCACCGGUGCCUAGGAGACCUCUCAUUCUAUACAUGACAAUGUUAGAUGAGUCGAUGGGAUGUGUGCUGGGACAACACGAUGAAUUCGGAAAAAGGGAAUGAGCCAUCUAUUACCUGAGCAAGAAAUUCACAGCAUGCGAGAUGAACUACUCGUUGCUAGAAAGGACAUGUUGUGCCUUAGCGUGGGCAGCUCACUGUUUGAGGCAGUAUAUGUUGAGUUACACUACUUGGUUGGUGUUUAAAAUGAAUCUCGUCAAGUACAUCUUAAAAAAACCCGCUCUUACUGGGAGAAUAGCUCGGUGGCAGGUCUUCUUGUUAGAAUUCAAUAUCAUCUACCUCACUCAUAAGACAAUAAAAGGGAGCACCUUAGCAGAUUAUCUAGCUCAGCAACCCAUAAACGAUUAUCAACCUAUGCAUCCAAAAUUCCCUGACAAGGGUAUUAUGGCCCUGUUUGAGGAGGAGGUUGAAGAUGAAGACAGAGAUAAGUGGGUUGUGUGGUUUGACAGUGCGUAUAAUGCAUUAGGUCAUGGAAUUGGGGUGGUGUUGGUUUCGCCGGACAAACAAUGUUUGCCUUUCACGACUAGGUUGUGUUUCGAUUGUACAAACAAUAUGGCAAAGUACGAGGCAUGCGCCCUAGGGAUCCGAGCGACGAUUGACUUUAGGGUCAAGUUGCUCAAAGUAUAUGGGGACUCGACGUUGGUAAUUUAUCAGUUGAAAGGUGAAUGGGAAACCAGAGACUACAAGUUGGUGCCUUACCAGGCUUACAUUAGGGAAUUGAUGAAACCCUUUGAUGACAUAUCAUUUCAUCACAUUCCUAGAGAGGAAAACCAGAUGGCCGACACCCUUGCCACUCUAUCGUCCAUGUUCAAAGUAAGCCCUCACGGAGAUUUUCCAUGCAUCGACAUUAGAUGUCGUGUUAAGCCUACACACUGUUGUUUGAUAGAAGAAGAAGAGGAUGGUAAAACUUGGUACUUCAAUAUCAAACGAUACAUUAAGGACAAGGAAUACCCACCUAAGGCCUCUAACAAUGACAAGAGGACAUUACGGAGGUUGGCAGCCAAUUUCCUUCUGAGUGGGAAUGUCUUAUAUAAAAGAAACCAAGAUAUGGUGUUGCUUUGAUGUGCGAAUGCAAAAGAGGCCGAACAAAUACUAUUGGAGGUGCAUGAGGGAUCCUUUGGUACCCAUGCCAAUGGACAUGGCUUGAAAGAUUUUGAGGGCGGGAUAUUACUGGCUCACUAUGGAGAACAGUUGUUGUGUUCACGUGAGGAAAUGUCAAACCUUCACUGAUAAUGUUAAUGCUCCACCUGUAUCGUUGAAUGUGUUGGUAGCACAGUGGUCAUUCUCAAUAUAGGGCAUAGACGUGAUUGGGGCUAUCAAACCCAAGGCUUCAAAUGGGCAUCGCUUCAUCUUAGUCGUCAUUGAUUACUUCACCAAAUGGGUGGAAGCAGCCUCAUAUGCUAACGUGACUAGGAAUAUGGUGAUUAGAUUCAUUAAGAAGGAAAUAAUUUGCAGAUAUGGGUUGCCCAGGAAGAUCAUCAUCGAUAAUGUCACCAAUUUAAACAACAAGAUGAUGAAGGAAAUGUGAGGAUUUCAAGAUCCAACUCCAUAAUUCAACGCCUUAUCGACCCAAGAUGAAUGGGGCAGUUGAGGCCGCUAAUAAAAACAUCAAGAAGAUCAUUCAGAAGAUGACCAUAUCAUACAAGGAUUGGCAUGAGAUGUUACCCUUCGCAUUGCAUGGUUAUCAGACUUUUGUACGCAUAUCUACUGGGGCAACCUCAUUCUCUUUGGUGUACGGGAUGGAAGUUGUGCUUCCGUUUGAGGUGGAGAUUCCUUCUUUGAGAAUUCUAGCGGAGUCAGGAUUGGAAGAAGCAGAAUGGGCCUAGGCAUGUGUUGACCAAUUAAACCUUAUUGAGGGAAAGAGAUUGGCUACCAUGAGCCAUGGCGCGACUAUACCAAAGCAGAGUGAAAAGCGCUUUUGACAAAAGAGUGCGCCUACGUAAGUUCAGUGAGGGGGACCUUGUUUUGAAGAAGGUAUCACAGGUUCAAAAGGAUCACCAAGGGAAAUGGGCCCCAAAUUAUGAAGGACCAUUUAUGGUGAAGAAGACUUUCUCAGGAGAAGCGUUGUUGCUCAUGAAUAUGGAUGAUGAAGAGCUUCCUUCGGUUGUGAUUUAUGAUGUCGUCAAGCGAUAUUAUGCAUGAUACUUGGGGCAAUUCAAAGACUCAAUGUUUGGGCCUCCUCAAGGACUCAUUAGUAUCUCCAUGUCUUAGGCUAUCUUUGUAAACAAUAAUCAAACAGUUAAUAAAUAUAGAUUAAUGAUUUGUAUCUCUCCCUCUAGGGUUAUGUCUUUUGCACCUUUUUAUUGUCGUUGGGCAUGAAUGUACACUCUCGUUUUUGCUCACUCGCAUGACCAGCACUCCAGGGCCAAUGGUCAAAUCUUCCAGAUCAAAAGUCACUCGUUCGACAUGUUCAGUAGGGGUGUCGUAAGCAUUGAGUAAAAUUGAACACACCAAAAAAACAGAAGAGAAAACACAACCCUUGGUUAAUUGUUGUGUUAAAUGAAUGUUUGAUAACAAACAUGCAUGCAUCUGCAUUUUUUAUCAUCUAAGUGUUUCACAAAGAGAAAAAUGAAUGAAGAGUCAUUUUGGGUUAUGGUCGACACCACAUCAAUUUGGGUAAACCUAGGGGAAAAUGGGAAAGGCGACACGAGCAUUUCACAACAUUUUAAACAUUUGCAUGUUAACAUUCUCUUUAUCAAGGCAUUAGAGUAGGUGCCAACAGGUGUUAAGUCCACGAUCGGAUUUUCUCAUUAUCAAAGAAAAGAAUUAAGAAGGAUGAGAUAGCAAAGCCUCGACUACAACCACGCGUCCAACUAAAGACGUUAAAGAAGCGCUCCUAGGAGGCAACCUAGUAUCUCUAAACUCUGUUCUUUAAUUUUAUGCCUUAUGUUUUCUAUUGCGUGUUGAUAUUGUUCAAUUUUCUUUUGGAUUAUUUCAUGAAUUCGCCUAGGAUUUAUGGGUAAUUUUAAAGCUUAUUAUAGGAUUAUAACCUUUUUGCAAAAACUUUGUUAAAAAAAAUUGUUUUAACUCGCCUGGGCGAGUGUACGCUGAAGAAAAAAAAAGGGCAGAAAGGGGUGAAAUCAGAUUUUCACCCCAUUUUCUCCAAGAACUUCAAAACUUCAUCACAAAUGGCUCCGAAGAAACUUUUUGCUAAGAGAGCUAGGAAGGCCACUACAGGGGAAAGAUCCAGUGCAGCCCCACAAGCGAAAAUUGAGUUUGAUGGGCACCGCUUCCAAAGCGAGGAGCAUCAAUGCCGCUUUGAGGUGAUUAAGGAUUAGUCUUUCCUCAAAGAAAGACGGGUCCAGCUAGCGGAGGGAGAGUAUGCAGAAUUCUAAGCCAAAGUUGUCAGGAGGAGUUGGACAUAGCUGAUAGAGCCUAUGGCGAAGUAUGAUCCUGAAGUAGUCAUGGAGUUUUACGCAAACUCCUGCCCACUGAAGAAGAAGUCAUGGACAAGCGCUCCUGGGUACGGGGCCAAUGGAUCCCAUAUGACACAGAUGCUAUCAACCAAUUCUUGGGGCAUCCAUUGGUCUUAGAAGAGGGACAACGAUGCAAGUACGCUGAGAGAAGAAGUAAGUUUUCAGGUUUUGAUGAAGAGGCCAUAUGUCAGCUACUUUUCUCCACGAGACAUGAUUUUGCACGGAGCGUAGCAGGGAGGUGGGUGCGAAUCAUGUGCACUAGCAUGACCACUCUGACUCAAAUUUGGAUGACACUCCUGCUCAGUAACAUCUUUCCCAGUGACCAUAACUCUGAUAUCCUGCUACCCAAAUGUCAGUUGGUCUACAGCAUCAUGGCCCAGAUCAGUGUUCAUGUGGCGCAGCUUAUCUCAGAUGUCAUCCACCAGUUCGUAGGUAUUGCAUCUCUGAGACACCUAGUGGACCCAGAGAAUUCCAAUAAGGCACUGGGAUUUCUGGCAUUGAUCGCAAGUCUCUGCCAAUUCUACGUGGUAUCGGUCGCGCUGACAAAGCUCAUCCAGCCUCCCAUUAACAUGUCCUUUAUUGAGAAAUAUUGCAUGCCAAGGCAAGCACAGCAGUCGGCCGCAGACGCACCAGCACCACCUCCGCAUCAACCACCAUCUCUAGAGUCCAUCUUAGCUCACAUGCAGAGGAUGGAGCUUCAGAUGCACGCAUACAUGCAACAUUUGGCUUAUCAACAAGCAGCCAAUCAUAGGGGCCAGAUGCAAUUGAAUGACAGUUUCUAUCAGUAUACAUUGCACCAACAUCGCGAGGACCCUAACCCUUACCCGUGGCCUACUCUCGAGUAGUUCAGAGCCACUGUCGCAUGGCCUUGGGAUAGGCCCAAUUUUCAAGAGGAGGCAGGUCCUGAAGAUGUUCAAGGAGCUGCCCAAGGGGACGAAGGCAGAUCUGGGGAUGUUGAAGACAUGGUAGAUUAGCUUGAUUUCCUCAUUAGAAGAGACUGAGCUCCCCGACCGUGAUCUUCUAAAUUUAUGAACUUGUCUUUAUCUUAUUUAUUGUUUUUAUAUUUUGUUAUGUUAUUUGUUGUGAUGAUUGUUUGAAAAAAAAAGAAAAAAAACUUAUGUGUGGUUUUUUUUUUUGCGCACACUUUGAUUUUUGAUGGUGCAGUCUUGGGUCAUAACUUUGCCCAGGAGUCAAACCUUUUUUCCUAAAACUAACGUGCUUUUGAAAGAAAUAACCACCAGUACCCUUCAAAAAAUUUGUAGAUCAAAACACAACAAAAAGGGUUUUGAAAAAAAAAUGUGUAUCUUGAGGAUGAGAAUAAUGAAGGACUUUCUCAAAUACCAAAAUGGACUCAGAUGUUUUGCAUGGACUUGAUAAAAAACAAUUGUUGAAACACUAAUUUGAUCUAAAUAUGGAUAUAGGCCCUAAGUUGUAUUGACUAUGUGACCACAAAUUUUAUAUUGAGUGUCCGCAUGGAUAUGUUCUAUGAUUGGUUUUGCAUGAAUUUCUAAUUGUCAUAACAUAUGAUUCAUGGAAGUGAUAUGGGCAUUCUUUCUUUCUAAGCCAUUGGCCAAACAGUUGUCCCAAUAUACAUUAUUUUUUGCUAUUUGCAAGCCUUUUGAGCCAGGCACUUGAUUUUUAUCAGAACACUAACCUAGGAUGAAAGUUUCCUACCUUACCUUAGGAUAGAAGAGAAUAGGUGUUUUCAAGGGAGAUUUCUAUCAUUUUUGUGGCUAGUCGUGGAUUUUUGAAGGUAGAUAUUUAUCAACAAAAAAAAGAAAAAAAAUAAAAAAGAAGAAAAAGAAAAAAAAUCAAUCAAAAAUGGAAAAAAGCAAAAAAAGAAAAUAGAAAAGAAAAACAAGUUCUUUGGAAUAAACAAGUAUCUAAACCAUGUACAGAGUUGUUGUAAAAAGUAAAAAGGAAGGAAAAUAAUAGUAACUUGGUCAAGACAUGAAGGGAUAGGAAAUGAUCACCCAUUUAAGUUACUAGCUAAAUCUUUAUGCCUGUUCUCCUACUCACACACAAAAAAAAAAAGACCAAAGCAACCAAAGCCAAAAUUUCCCACAAGUCCAACCUUAAAAAGACCUAUUGAUCCAUGAUGAUUAUCCACAUUAUCCUUGAUUUGAUGGGAAAUGACUUGCAAAAUCAAUUUAUGACAUAUCUAUGAUUUGGAAUUGAGAUGAAACACUUUCCUGUGUGAGGUUUUAUACACCUUUAAGCGGUUUUCCUCUAUUUGAUUGAAUCCAGUGUUUCUUCUAAUGCUUCUUUAGAAACGAAAUGGAAAA